rnacentral:rRNA from 1 species
UACGUAGGGGGCACGCGUUGUCCGGAUUUAUUGGGCGUAAAGAGCGUGUAGGCGGUCAGGUAGGUCCGUUGUGAAAACUCGAGGCUCAACCUCGAGACGCCGAUGGAAACCAUCUGACUAGAGUCCGGAAGAGGAGAGUGGAAUUCCUGGUGUAGCGGUGAAAUGCGCAGAUAUCAGGAAGAACACCCGUGGCUAAGGCGGCUCUCUAGUACGGUACUGACGCUGAGACGCGAAAGCGUGGGGAGCGAACAGG